GUCUUUCCCCCCUAAGUAUAGUGGGAUAGGGCUUGUCAGGUUGAGGUGCAGUUCCCCUUCCUGCCUCCAGGACCACCCCCACCUCAGUGGGGCACCUCACCUUUAAGGCAGCCCCCGCCCCUGUUGAUCAGCCUGGAGGAAGCGGGAGGGUCAGAGAUGGAGGGACAAGGGGAGAAUGCGGGACCGAGGAGAAGGGAGGGAAGGGGAGUGGGGAUCAAUGCUGUCUUGCAGCCUGUUUCUGGCUACUUUUCAUCAACAUCUCGCUGAGCCCUAGAGUAACCCACAAGGCAGGUUGUAGCAGCCUCGUCUUUUUUUUUGUUGUUGAGAUGGAGUCUCGCUCUGUCACCAGGCUGGAGUGCAGUGGCGCGAUCUUGGCCCACUGCAACCUCCAUCUCCUGGGUUUAAGCGAUUCUCCUGCCUCAGCCUCCUGAGUAGCUGGGAUUACAGAUGCCUGCCACCACGCCUGGCUAAUUUCUUUUUUUAAUUUUUUUUGUAUUUUUAGUAUAGACAGGGUUUUACCACGUUAGCCAGGGUGGUCUCGAACUCCUGACCUUGUGAUCCGCCCGCCUCGGCCUCCCAAAGUGCUGGGAUUACAAGCAUGAGCCACCGUGCCUGGCCCAGCAGUCUCAUUUUACAGAUAAGGACACCGAGGUUCAUGGAGGCCAAGCCACUUGUUCAAGGUGGCCUGGUGGGACUGGGACCCAAGCUAGCUGCCUGAACCAACAACCUGUUGUCAAUGAUGACGCCAAUGAAGAGGUUGAGGGUGAAGAAGGAGCCAAAGAUGAUGAAGAUGACAAAGUAGAGGUACAUGUAGAGGUUCACCUCGUACUGCGGCUGCUCCUCCUUCUGUGGGAGCCACAGGGUGGGACGGCGUGGGUUUGCACGCUGGCUUCUCCCUGCCCCCCACAGCCCUGAGGGCAGGACCCAUCCACCCCCAGGGCUGCCAAGUCUCGGGGACAGAACGUGCUGCCAAGUCUCCCUCCUGUCUUGAGUCCUCUUCCCUGGCUCGCUCACCAGCCACAUCUCAGCGACCCCGACUCACCUCCCGGGAGUCCACGGCUGCAUACAUGAUGUCCAUCCAACCCUUGAAGGUGGCCUGAGAGAGUGUGGUUGGGGAGUGAGCCGGGGGGCUGCUCCCUGCUUUCAUCAUCCAUGAGUUUCCCUCCCCCACCCAACCUGGUCCUCCCCUGCCAGAGGCCGCCUGCC
rnacentral:lncRNA from 10 species